GACGAACCGUGCGAACGUUAUUCGGAAUCACUGGGCUUAAAGCGCGUGUAGGCGAAUGGGAACGUCGGUCGCUGAAAUCCCCCGGCUCAACCGGGGAACGGGCACCGAAACGACCCGUCUGGAGGGACGUAGGGGGACCUGGAACUUCCGGUGGAGCGGUGAAAUGCGUUGAGAUCGGAAGGAACGCCCGUGGCGAAAGCGAGGUCCUGGACGUCUACUGACGCUGAGACGCGAAAGCUAGGGUAGCGAACGGG
rnacentral:rRNA from 1 species